GCCCCGCCCCCGCAUUAGGAAACGCCCACCCGACACACCCAGGUUAUCUGUUAUCUGCAGUGUGAGCUGGCUUAACCUCUUCGCUCCCUGGCAGUGUUUGUUCUGAGGAUCUUCCUCACGGGUCAGACAUGUACGGCACCACAAUGCAUAAUAUGCACAUGGCCUCAUACACCGCUCUGUAUGUAUUCAAGUCACUAGAGGUAAGAAGGAGAAAUAGUUCCAAUAGGAAAACCACAAAAGAAAACUGGAAAAGCAGUAAAACACAACAGAUGAAUCCAGCCUGAGGCUAAAGGAAACGGACCACUUAUGUGGUGACACUAAGCAGCGUGAUGCCAGAUCUCUUCUAAUGGUAGAUGUCAGGAGACAGAAGGAUAGAGCAUGUUGGAUAGAAACAUCCCAAGCCAUUGUUCCCCAAGACAGAGGCCGAGAAGU